UAACAGAUCGCGCUGCGCUCGAGGCGACUUCUCGCGGCUGGAGGUCCGUGGAAAAAUAAAAUUCCGAAUAAAACUCCAAAAUGGCGCGGCUGCCGAGUGUAAACACCCAGUUUUGAUGUUGAGUAAAGUGAAUUAGCCGCGAAGUGUUCGCGUCCACGUCCGAUCGACUGUCACAUUCUUAUUUGUGUUUCACGGUGUAACGAUCAAAUUUUGUCUGAAUGUUCACUGUAUCCACGAUCGCCCAUUCCAUACCAGGGAGUGACCCAAACAAGAUGACGCAGAAGCGUGGUGCUAGCAUGUCACAUGUUGGGACUUGGCGCCAAGUAGAUCC